CUACGGGCCGCACCAGUAGGGAAUAUUGGACAAUGGGCGAAAGCCUGAUCCAGCAACACCGCGUGCACGAUGACGGCCUUCGGGUUGUAAAGUGCUUUUAGAGGAGAUGAGAAAGGACAGUAUCCUCUGAAUAAGCCUCGGCGAACUACGUGCCAGCAGCCGCGGUAAAACGUAGGAGGCAAGCGUUAUCCGGAUUUAUUGGGCGUAAAGCGCGUGCAGGCGGUCUAGCAAGUUGGAUGUGAAAGCUCCCGGCUCAACUGGGAGAGGUCGUUCAAUACUGUUAGACUAGAGAAUAGGAGAGGGAGGUGGAAUUCCGGGUGUAGUGGUGAAAUGCGUAGAUAUCCGGAGGAACACCAAUGGCGAAAGCGGCCUCCUGGACUAUUUCUGACGCUAAGACGCGAAAGCUAGGGUAGCAAACGGGAUUAGAUACCCUAGUAGUC
rnacentral:rRNA from 1 species